rnacentral:rRNA from 1 species
GUGCUCCCCCGCCAAUUCCUUUAAGUUUCAGCCUUGCGACCGUACUUCCCAGGCGGCGCGUUUCACGAUUUCUCUUCGGCACCUCGGUGACUCGUGGUCACCGAUACACCUAACGCGCAUCGUUUACAGCUGGGACUACCCGGGUAUCUAAUCCGGUUUGCUCCCCCAGCUUUCGUUCCUCACUGUCGGAGCCGUCCUGGUGAGACGCCUUCGCCACAGGUGGUCCCCCAAGGAUUACAGGAUUUCACUCCUACCCCUGGAGUACCUCUCACCUCUUCCGGUCCCUAGUCUGCCAGUAUCCCUGAGACGCCUUCCGGUUAAGCCGGAAGAUUUCCCCAGAGACUUAACAGACCAGCUACGAACGCUUUAAGCCCAGUAAUAGUGGCCACCACUCGAGCCGCCGGUAUUACCGCGGCGGCUGGCACCGGUCUUGCCCGGCCCUUUCUUCACCAGUUAUUUACACUGGCGGACAGCCUGAUUUUACAGGCACUCGGAGUUCCCUUAUCACGAUUGCUCGCAUUGUAAAGUUUUCGCGCCUGCUGCACCCCGU